rnacentral:rRNA from 1 species
GAUGAACGCUAGCGGCAGGCUUAAUACACGCAAGUCGAGGGGCAGCACAGGUAGCAAUACUGGGUGGCGACCGGCAAACGGGUGCGGAACACGUACACAACUUACCUUCUGGUGGGGGAUAGCCUUUGGAAACGGAGAUUAGUACCCCAUAUUAUAUAUGAGCUGCAUGGUUUGUAUAUUAAAGAUUUAUUGCCGGAAGAUGGGUGUGCGUAUGAUUAGGUAGUUGGCGGGGUAACGGCCCACCAAGCCGACGAUCAUUAACUGGUGUGAGAGCACGACCAGUCACAAGGGCACGGAGACACGGGCCCGGCUACUACGGGAGGCAGCAGUAAGGAAUAUUGGUCAAUGGACGGAAGUCUGAACCAGCCAUGCCGCGUGGAGGAUGAAGGUCCUCUGGAUUGUAAACUUCUUUUAUAGGGGGCGAAAAAAGGGAAUUCUUUCUCGUCUGACGGUACCCUAUGAAUAAGCACCGGCUAACUCCGUGCCAGCCGCCGCCGUAAGAC